rnacentral:rRNA from 1 species
AACGAACGCUGGCGGCAUGCCUAACACAUGCAAGUCGAACGAGACCUUCGGGUCUAGUGGCGCACGGGUUCGUAACGCGUGGGAACCUGCCCUUAGGUUCGGAAUAACUUCCCGAAAGGGGUGCUAAUACCGGCUAAUGUCUUCGGACCAAAGGUUUAUCGCCUUUGGAUGGGCCCGCGUUGGAUUAGCUUGUUGGUAGGGUAAAAGCCUACCAAGGCGACGAUCCAUAGCUGGUCUGAGAGGAUGAUCAGCCACACUGGGACUGAGACACGGCCCAGACUCCUACGGGAGGCAGCAGUGGGGAAUAUUGGACAAUGGGCGAAAGCCUGAUCCAGCAAUGCCGCGUGAGUGAUGAAGGCCUUAGGGUUGUAAAGCUCUUUUACCCGGGAUGAUAAUGACAGUACCGGGAGAAUAAGCUCCGGCUAACUCCGUG